UUGAACAAAGAAAUCUUCAUAUUAGACAUGAAAUUUUAAAUUUAAAAAUUAUUUUAGAGGAUCUUGAUGGUAACAAAGCUGAAGUACAGGUUGAUCUGAAAAUUCUGUAGCCAGAUGAAUCUAUGCCCAACGCAGAAUCAGCUGGACUAUACUGAAUCAUACUGGAACAAGGGAGACUAUCUACUGGAUCAUAUGGAGCAAGGGAGACCAUCUGCCAUUUACUGGAGCAUGAGGAAAUUCCUAUAUUGAGGAUCAUUUCAACAGUCAGCACCAAUGGGAAAGCAGGCAUCCCACUUAUGAAUUCUGAAUACAUAUCAACCCACUUCUUCACGGC